AACUUUCAACAACGGAUCUCUUGGUUCUGGCAUCGAUGAAGAACGCAGCGAAAUGCGAUAAGUAAUGUGAAUUGCAGAAUUCAGUGAAUCAUCGAAUCUUUGAACGCACAUUGCGCCCGCCAGUAUUCUGGCGGGCAUGCCUGUUCGAGCGU
rnacentral:rRNA from 4 species